GACGAACGCUGGCGGCGUGCUUAACACAUGCAAGUCGAACGGAAAGGCCCUGCUUUUGUGGGGUGCUCGAGUGGCGAACGGGUGAGUAACACGUGAGUAACCUGCCCUUGACUUUGGGUUAACUUCAGGAAACUGGGGCUAAUCCCGGAUAGGAGCUCCUGCUGCAUGGUGGGGGUUGGAAAGUUUCGGCGGUUGGGGAUGGACUCGCGGCUUAUCAGCUUGUUGGUGGGGUAGUGGCUUACCAAGGCUUUGACGGGUAGCCGGCCUGAGAGGGCGACCGGCCACAUUGGGACUGAGAUACGGCCCAGACUCCUACGGGAGGGAGCAGUGGGGAAUAUUGCAAAAUGGGCGGAAGCCUGGUGCAGCAAAGCCGCGUGCGGGAUGACGGCCUUCGGGUUGUAACCCGCUUUCGCCUGUGACGAAGCGUGAGUGACGGUAAUGGGUAAAGAAGCACCGGCUAACUACGUG
rnacentral:rRNA from 1 species